UACGAAGGGUCCAAGCGUUAUCCGGAUUUAUUGGGUUUAAAGGGUGCGUAGGCGGCUUAUUAAGUCAGUGGUGAAAGCCCGUAGCUCAACUACGGAACUGCCAUUGAUACUGAUGAGCUUGAAUAUACUUGAGGUUGGCGGAAUGUGUCAUGUAGCGGUGAAAUGCUUAGAUAUGACACAGAACACCGAUUGCGAAGGCAGCUAGCUAAAGUACAAUUGACGCUGAUGCACGAAAGCGUGGGGAGCAAACAGG
rnacentral:rRNA from 1 species